GACGAACGCUGGCGGCGUGCUUAACACAUGCAAGUCGAACGGAAAGGCCCUGCUUUUGUGGGGUGCUCGAGUGGCGAACGGGUGAGUAACACGUGAGUAACCUGCCCUUGACUUUGGGAUAACUUCAGGAAACUGGGGCUAAUACCGGAUAGGAUCUCCUGCUGCAUGGUGGGGGUUGGAAAGUUUCGGCUGUUGGGGAUGGACUCGCGGCUUAUCAGCUUGUUGGUGGGGUAGUGGCUUACCAAGGCUUUGACGGGUAGCCGGCCUGAGAGGGUGACCGGCCACAUUGGGCCUGAGAUACGGACCAGACUCCUACGGGAGGCAGCAGUGGGGAAUAUUGCACAAUGGGCGGAAGUCUGAUGCAGCAACGCCGCGUGCGGGAUGACGGUCUUCGGGUUGUAAACCGCUUUCGCCUGUGACGAAGCGUGAGUGACGGUAAUGGGUAAAGAAGCACCGGCUAACUACGUG
rnacentral:rRNA from 1 species